rnacentral:rRNA from 1 species
UACGUAGGGUGCAAGCGUUAAUCGGAAUUACUGGGCGUAAAGCGUGCGCAGGCGGUUUUGUAAGUCUGACGUGAAAUCCCCAGGCUCAACCUGGGAACUGCGUCCGAUACUGGAUGGCUUGAAUCCGGGAGAGGGAUGCAGAAUUCCAGGUGUAGCGGUGAAAUGCGUAGAUAUCUGGAGGAAUACCGGUGGCGAAGGCGGCAUCCUGGACCGGCAUUGACGCUGAGGAGCGAAAGCCAGGGGAGCAAACGGG